UUAUGGCCAUAUCACAUGGAAACACCAGUUCCUGUAAGAGCACCAAAGUUAAGCAACACUGAGCAUGGUCAGUACAUAGAUUGGUGACUGCUUGGAAAUAAUAGGUGCUGUA